AGAAAUACACCUUCCAUUCCAUGGCCACAGUGAUCCACCUCUUCCCACCAGGCUUCACCUUCCAACAUCACCCAGCUAUAAACCCAUCAGCAGACUGAUCCAGGGAUGACUGCCCCAUACCCAUGACCCUGUCACCUCCCAAAAGCCCCACCUAUGAGCACAGGAGGCUUUGGAGGCACAUCUAGAUAUAAACCAUGACAUAGGACAUGACAAAAGUCUUGGGGGUGGACAUGAAGAGUGCACCAAGUCCUGAGGGCCUCUGGGAGACUUAGCGACUGAUGCUGGGGUUCUGGUGCCCAGGUCCCCACCCUCCAAUAUCCACAUAGCACCAUGUGGGGACAGCUACGUGGGGGCUGAGGGAGGGUGGGGUGUAGGAGCCCAAAAUGAGUGAUUGUCACGGGUGCGGUUGCAGAAUCACAGGUGUGGUGGGACCACACGGUUAGGGUGGGCGGGCACAUGGGUGUAGGGUGAGGCAAAGAUUAGCAGAGACGGGCCACAGAUGAGGGGAGGGUCACAGGUGGGCUGUGUGGAGGCCCCUGAGUGCACCUUGGCCUCUGCCCUUUGUUUACCGAGCUGUGCUGGAUGCCCCGACCCUAUUUCUCACUGAGGACUGAGGCUCAGUGAGUUGAAGCCGCCGGCACACUCCUACACCAGAUAAUUCCUGCCUGGGACUGGGGCCGGGUGCUGGCAGUUACUGCUCAAGGAAUCUCACAUUCAGGCUCCCUCAUGCCCCUCUCCUCAGGCUAGGGUCUGGCAGGGGUUGAGGAGGUGGGAGGGCGCCACCCACUGGUGGGAACUGGGCUGCUCUGCUCUCUCCUCUGAGCCACACCUGCUCCGGCAUUUCCAGGGCUCUUUUUAAGAGCCAGACCCUGACCUCAACUGCAGGAACAAGGUGUCACCUCAGGCAGGGGGUACAACUUGCCCUACGUAGUCACCCACCGCAAGAACCUGCCAGAUUCUAGUUGGCCCAGGUCUGAGUUCAUUUUGCCCUCACACUGGUGGCCACAGGAUGCCAUGCCCUCUUUUCCAGAAUGGGAAGUCAAGGCUCCGAUGGGACAAGGAGGCCUCUGCCUGCAUAACCACCACUCCUCUUGCGGGUUGGUCCUCCCUGGGUCUGUCCCCGGAUGUUCCUCGACUGCACACAGCACGAAGGCUGCCUCCAGUCUCCACACCUGUGCAUCUGGGCUGCCCGGCCUUCACCCACCCUGCCUAUCCCUGCCCUCUGUCCCCACAGCCCAGGUACAUGCCACCACCCAUCUGUGGGGUGCUGACGUCAGCCGGACACCAGAUGAACUGACGCUCGGCCUCUCUUCCCUGUCCUUCCCCUUCCUCCUCCCCAAGGCCAGCCCUGACCCUCGCAGGCUGAGGAGACCACCCCAGGCUGGGAGGAAGGGACCCCUGGGCGGGCCGGGAAGGGGUCCCUGCUGCAGGUGCCUGAUCGUCACUGGAAUCAAGGCCUGGGCAGGGGCUCUGCCAUGCCUACCUGACUGCUGCCCACCUGGUCUGCAGUCCGGGGCUUCUGAUGCCAGUCUAGGGGCAGCACUUGCAGAACAUUGGCACUAGAACCAAAGAUUUGCUCGGGAGAAAGAGGAGGAAAGCAGAGGUAAGGGGCCUGGUGCCUCAGGGGAUGCUGCAGAGGUCCUGGCCAAGCAGCCCCUGCAACCACCUCAGAGAAUCAUGACUCAGGGAGCAUCUUAGAAUGAAACUGAGGCCUAGGGAGGGGCAUACACUUGUCUGAGGUCACACAGUAAGUUAGGGACCAGCUGGGAUUCAUGUAUUCCUACCUGUGUUCAUGCACCAGGCCCUGCUGCUACUUGCUGUGGACUCCACCUCCUGAGUGCCCAGCUCCAUGGGGAGCAAAUGCAUUGAAUGAUAUUUGAGUUUCUGGGAUGAAGGGGAUUGGACAGCAGCAGCCCCACCAUACUUCCUGCCUUGUUUCUCCUGCCAUCCUGUCCCUGCCAGGUUCAUUAAACCAGCCUUUAGGUGCCAGCCCCAUCUACCUCUGGGCCUUUGCAUCUGCUGUUUCCUGUGCCUGGGAGCUCUCCCUGGAGCUCCUGCUGUGGCUUCCUUGGAGACCCCUUGUGCCCAACUGUCCAAUAUUUUUUUAACUCCUUGCUUUCUUGUUUAACCUAUUUCCUCAGGCAGCAUAGAAGCUCUGUGAGGGCAGGAUGCAGCAGGGCCUACACACAGCAGCGGUGGACAGCCCUGGAAAGUCUUAGGGUCAUUCCUGUCCUGCCACGUGGCCUCAAGCACUUGGGGCCUGGAAUCCUCAUUGUACAGAUAGAAAAUGAAGUUGAAGAAGCCUGGCAUUCUCCUCCCUCACCCAUGGUCAGUGGGUCCCAAGGACACCAGAGACAGCUCCUCCUCAGGUGUCCAGCUCCACCAUGAAGACAGGAACCCGUGCCUAUCUGAGUAGCCGAGGCUGGUGCUGAGUGUCCAAGGAGGCUGACACUUUCGGGUCGCAAGCUGGAUGCAGCCCUCUCUGACCACCAGGGCAGGACAACAUGAGGCCGUGGCCAUAGGACACCACCUCAGAGGAGAAGAGCUGGACUCCACAUUUCUGGAAAGUCAAGGGAAUUCAAGGAAGCUGACUCCAUCCUCUGCAUUCUGUGACUUGGCCAGAGCCAGUGAGCAUCCCCGGUCCCUCAGCCCAAGGGAUUGGUCAGCAUGGCCAUGGGACCCGAGAUGGGUCCUGUGACCACAGAAGGAGUGGACCACUCAUGAGCUCUGGCUGUCUUGGAUCCAGAAGGAAGAGGCUCCCAAUGAGGCCCAAACAGAGGCAGAAGGACAACUGUGUUGGUUACUUUUCUCUAGUUACUGAGACAAAAUAACUGACGCCCAAAGUUAGAGGGGAAGGGUUUUAUUUGACUUACAGUUCAUAGAGGUUUCAGUCCAUAAUUAGCUGGCUCCAAGGCAGGGUGCCAUGACAAGCCUUGAGGAGGAGAAACAGCAGUUCGUGGCAGCCAGAAGGUAUUCAAAGCAACAAGAGACCUUAAGAGGAUCUUUCUGCCCCUUUUGUCUUUUUCAGACUACUUAGCACUCACUCGCUUAACCCUAGUGCCCUUGGGCCUCAGCCCACCGUGAGUCAAUCACACACUCUAGAUCCGGCCACCUCCAAAAUAGCCCAUGACCACAUGAGGCUCGGGGGGACAUCCAGACACAAACCGUAACAACAUCUGACCUCUGAUUUCAUAUAAAGCAGUUACAUAAGCGGGUAAAUGUCAUGGGAGGUCAGAUCUCCUGAUAACUGUUGCCCGCAGUACCCAGCAGCCACCAUUUUGCGUGGACCAGCCUAUGCCCCCCAGGAUCUCCUGCUUUGGCCAUGUUGUCCCACCCAGAGCUCACAGCUUUCUGAGUGGGACAAAACCCUGCCUCUCUCCUGCAGGACCAGGCCUGCCCCCUAGGAAGCUUGGGCUGCUCUCCUGCUGUACAUGCUACAUGCAUUCCAAAAAGCAAACCUCCCUCCCUCCUUCCUUCCCUCCUUCCUUCCUUCCUUCCUUCCUUUCUUUCUUUCUCUCUCUCUCUUUCUUUCUUCCUUCCUUCCUUUCUUGCGUUUUUUCUUUCUUUCUUUCUGCUUUAUCUCCCCCCACCCAGUAAUGGGGAUUGAACCCAGAGCAUCACACAUGCUAGGCAAACACCCUACUACUAAUCUAAACCCAAGCCCCUUUUAAAAUUUUAUUUUGCAUCACCAGCCCUUUUUAAAAUUUUAUUUUGAGACAGUCUCAUUAAAUUCCCCAGGCUGGCUUCUAUCUUGGCCCCCAAAACCAACUCCUGUCCCCAAGUAAGGUAAUUUUGGGUCUCUUCAGAAAACACCCCACUUCCCAGAGUCAGAGAGUGGUCAUUGUGUUGGGUAGCGCCCUGACCCCAGUGUCCUCCCUGCAAGAUUCUGUCCUCUGCCCUUCAAACCCUCAGAGGAAGAGGCUCCCGUCCUCUCACUGCCCACAAAGGAGGACCUGCUGCUUGGCACGUGGCUUCUCCCAGGGGCAAACUCUGCUGCCUGGACUGGAAUUCAUUUGAGAGGUGACCCCAGAAACAGGGGAGUGGACAGUUUCUGAGGUAGAGAGGGUUGCAGUGUGUUGAAUGUGUUCCCCCAAAAUUCAUGUCUUCUUGGACCUGGAGAAUGUGGCUUCAUUUGGAAAUAAGGUCUUUGCAGAUGUAACCAGUUUAAUCAAGAUGAGGUUGCUGUUAUGAUUUGCAAAGUGAGGGAUUUAAAUUAGAUUUGGUGUAGUGAGGUAUAGCUCAGUCAAGGACACUCACUAGAAUGGCAAAAGACUAAGUUUAUUCCUCACAGAGCCCAGGGGGAAGACAGCAAGGUCAAUGGGAGGAAGAGGCAGGUGUUGGAACAUGGGUUCUCAGCCAGUGGGUAAGGAACAUGUGAGAGGAACCUGUGGACCUCAGCUGUUACUGGGGUGCAGGGUGUGACUGGGGUGGGUUUCCUGAAACAGGGCUGGGAUGGUUAAUUUGAAGGGCUAAGCACGGGAAUCCAGGGUUCCAUUGUCAAGUUCACCAGUGUUAAAGCAGAAGUGAUCAGAUGGUUCAGGGGCUGGGGGUCCUAUCUGUCUCAAAAUAUGCAGGUCAUAUGUGAUGAGCCAGGGACAGGACAUAAAGCUGGAGUCUAAGCAUUAAUGAAUGACAGGGACAACUGCCAUAUUAGAGUAGGAAAGGCCCUAAAUCCAAUGACUGGUGUUAAAAAGACACACAGACAUACGCACAAGGUGGGAGGCCAUGAGAUGACAGAGGCAAAGGGUGUAGAAAGAUAGUCACAAGCUUAGGAAAGCAAGGAUUUCUGAGGGCAGCCAGAAGCUAAGAAUAGGCAAGGAAGCCCCCCCGAGCUGUCAGAGGGACAUGGCCCUGCAGACAUCUCAGUUUCAGAUUUUUGGCCUCUAAAAUAAAUGAGGAUAUAUUCCUUUUUGUUUGUUUGUUUGUUUUUGGCACCAGGGAUCGAACUCAGGACCUUGUGCUUGCGAGGCAGGCGGCAGAAUGACUGAGCUAAAUGCCCAGCCCUGUAUCCUAUUUCUUAAGCCAUCAUUAAGUUUGUGGUCAUUUGUAUACAGCCCUAGUACACUAAUAUACAGAUUUUGAACCAGUGGGGUGUUGCCAUAACAAAUGCUUGCAAAUGUGGAUGUGGCUUUGGAGUUGGGUAAUAGAGAAUGGAAGAAUUUUGAGGGGUGUUAUGGUUUGGAUGUUUUUUAGCUUCCAUAGAUUUGAAUCUUGAAGGGUUAGUCCUCAGCGUGGUGGUGGGAGGUGGGACCUAAGAGUUGGAGCCUAGCAGGAGGUCCUUAGGUCAUUGGGGGUGUGCUCUUGGAAGGGACUGUUGGACUCCAUCCUCUCUGUUUUGAGACAUGAUCUCCUCCCAUGUGCACUUCCUCCAUCCACCACGAGGUCCUCAUUAGAGCUGAUCUGAUGCUGGUGUCAUGCCCUUGAACUCCAGAACAGCAAGCCAGGUAAACUUCUUUUCUCCACAAAGUUAGUCUGCUUCAGGUAUUUCAUUAUAGUUGCAAAAAAUAGGCUAGUACAAGAGACCCGAUAGAAAAAGCCUGGUGCCAUAGUUUGAACGUGCCCUGCCCAAAGCAGGUAUUGGAAACUGAAUCACCACUGCAGCAGUGUUCAGGCCUCACGAAUGAAUUGAUACUGUUCUCACAGAGGAUGGGAUGAGCCACUCUCUGUCUGUCUCUCCCUUUGUCCUCCUGCCACGGGAGGCCUUCCAUCACAUUUCAACACAAGAAAAAGGCCCUCAUCAGAUGCAGCACUUCAGUAUUCGACUUUUUAGACUUCAGAACCCUGAGAAAUUUUUUAUUGUUCAUAAAUUGUCCAGUCUGUGGUAUUCUGCUGCAGCAAAACAAAAUGAACUGGGACACUUAGAUUGCCUCCCAGUUAUUGUUGGUAGAAAUGUGGACAUUUACUUAAGGUGCUCCUUGUGAGGGUUAGGAAAGAAAAGAAAACCAUAGGGACAGCUCUUAGGAUCUUAGAGAGUACAUUUAUCACCACGAAGAGAAUUAAGUAGAAGUGUGAAUGCUACUAUGCUUCAGGGGGCCUUAGAGGAACACACUACUGGACACAGAAGAAAAAGUGAUCUUUGUUAUAGAGUGGUUAAAUUGUCUUCUAGUGUUGGGUGGAAAGUAGAACUCAUGAGCAAUGAACCUGGAUAUUUAGCCAGGGAGACUUCUAAACAAAGUGUAAAAGAUAUGGCCUGGUUACUCCUUGCUGCUUGUAGUAACAAUUGAGGGGAAAAAUAAAUUAAGGAAGGAAGUGUUAAGAAAAAAGGAACUGUCUCUUAGUGCUUUGGGAGGCCCUUGGCCUCCCCAAAGUUGCUAAAAUUAGGAAACUCACUGUUGAGAAAGUGUGGUCUGAAGACAACACCAACAGAGUUGCUGGCUAUUUUGUUGAAGAGAUUGGGGAUAUAACCCAUGGAUACAAUCAACCGUCUCAGAAUUGAAGCAUAGCAAUGGGGUUAUCCAGAAAUGACCUGUAGAGGAGCCUGUAUUCUGAUGGCAUGAAUCCCUGUGAAUUACACAGGACACCAACAAGCUUUCUGACAUCUUACCAGCAGAAACAUUGCCAGGCUGGACUGAAAGGCACAGAGGUAGAUGAGAUGAUGGAAGGAUGACUUGGAGGGCAGAGCCAGGAUGCAGAGGGCAGGGCCACUGCUGCUCCCAAAGCCUCAGGGAGCAGGGCCACCACCAGUCCCAGAAGACAAGAGCAUUAAGCCACAGAGGAUUAUUCUCAGGCCACAAACUUAAUGAAACUUGCCUACUGGAUCUCAGAUUUGCAUCUGACUAUUGGCCCUGAAUUCUUUAGCUUUCCAUUGCUAUAAUAAAAUAUUUGAGAUAAUUAACUUAUAGAGAGAAAAUGGUUAUUUCUGGAGAUUAUAAUCAAAAACUGGGUGAACCCAUUGCCUUGAGCCCCCAGUGGGUAUGUCCGACAGCAAUGGCAGAGCAAACUACUCACCUCAUGACCAGGAAGUAAAAGAAAGAAAGAGGAAGGGACUGGGGUCUCACAAUCCCCAAUGACCUACGGCCCUCCAACUAGGUCCCAUCUCCUAGGGGUUCCACCAUCUCCCAACGGUGUCACCCUGGAAACCAAGGUGCCAUACACAUUGCCUAUGGGAGGACACAUUUAUCUAAAACACAACAAACCCCUGUAUCCUCUUGGUUUUCUCUCUUGUGGAAUGAAUUAAGAUGGGCCCUAAAUCCAAUAACUGAUGUCCUAAUAAGAAGAGAAGACUCACUGAGAUGUGGUGGUAGAGACAGGAGUGGCUCAGGUCCAAGCUAAGGAAUGCCAAGGACUUUCCUGCAUUUCAAGACCUCAGUUUGUGGAACUUUAUUCCAACAGCCCACUGCUGUGGUCUGGAUAAGUGUCCCCCAAAGGCUGGUAUGUGGAAGGCUUGUUCGCCAAGCAGUGUUGCUUGUUGGAAGGUGGUGAAACCUUUAGGAAGUGGGGCCUGGUGGAAGGAAGUGAAGUUUUGGGAUGUGCCAUUGAAGGGGAUAUUGGGACCCUGGCCCUCUGCUUCCUGGCUACCACAAAGUCAUUACCAGUGUUCUG
ensembl:lncRNA